AACGAACGCUGGCGGCAUGCCUAAUACAUGCAAGUCGAACGAGAUCUUCGGAUCUAGUGGCGCACGGGUGCGUAACGCGUGGGAAUCUGCCCUUGGGUUCGGAAUAACGUCGGGAAACUGACGCUAAUACCGGAUGAUGACGUAAGUCCAAAGACUUAUCGCCUAAGGAUUAGCCCGCGUUAGAUUAGCUAGUUGGUGAGGUAAAAGCUCACCAAGGCGACGAUCUAUAGCUGGUCUGAGAGGAUGAUCAGCCACGCUGGAACUGAGACACGGUCCAGACUCCUACGGGAGGCAGCAGUGAGGAAUAUUGGACAAUGGGCGAAAGCCUGAUCCAGCCAUGCCGCGUGAAUGAUGAAGGCCUUCGGGUUGUAAAGUUCUUUUAGAUGUGAAGAUAAUGACGGUAGCAUCAGAAAAAGCCCCGGCUAAAUUCGUGCCAGCCGCCGCAGUAA
rnacentral:rRNA from 1 species